rnacentral:lncRNA from 1 species
UACCAUUCAAAACCCUAGCUUUACCUUUAUUCCGAUAUCGGCCAUGGCGAACCCACCGUCUUCCUCCGCAGCUCCUCCAUUGACCUCUUCCCAAUUCACAUACGCGAAUGCCUCGUCGUCAUCGUCCUACUUCCCCAUGCCCUUCCACCUCCAGCAACCCCAGUACCCCGCGCCUUACGCCGUUGCAGCGCCACCCGCUCCGUCCGUCUACCCGGCCCCGGCUCCGGUCGCCGGUGUCUACUCUCUUCCUCAGCAGUAUCAGCAGGUCUGUUUUCGGGACGCGUCUUUAUGUGCAUUUACACUUAUAUGCAUACUCAUACGCUUAGGGUUUGAUAAUUGAUGUCUUUGAUUUCUUGAAUGAUUGAGAAUAAAUAGAAUGGGGUUUUUCUUCGGUUCGAAAAUUCGUAUGCUUUAGUGAAAAGUAUGAUUUUUGUGGAAACGAAUUCAUGUUAUUUUUGCUUUUAAAGAGCUAUAAUUUUUGGGAUUCUUGUUUGAGGAACUACUGCAAUUUGAAAAUGUAGAGAAAGACUUUUUGAGAUUUUCAGUUUUGAAAUAAGUAAUGGAGCUACGUAUCAUUUUUUGCUAAUUUAGGGGAAGUUGUUUGGUGUGUAAGUUUCAUGUGCAUAAUUUGUUUUAGUGUAAAUGAACAGGCUCAGCAGUUGUUUCAAAGGGAUGCGCAGACGAUUACACCUGAGGCUCUCGAGAGUGUGAAGGCUGCUCUUGCAAACAGCGAAAUUGAGCACAAAGCAGAAGCUAAGAAGAAAGCUAUCCCUCGUAAAGCUGCCGGGCAGGCUUGGGAGGACCCAACUCUUGCAGAAUGGCCAGAAAGUAUGUGUGGUUUCAUAAUUAAAUGCUCUUUUAUAUAAUAUUUGUUAUAAUUCAAUUCCAUGAUUGUGUCCCGUUUCAGUUUAUCUUCUUUGAAGGUUUCCCUUUUGGCUACUUAGUUCACUGAUACACUAGAACUGUGAGACCUUGUUAAAUUCCUACUCUUCAUGGGAUUCAGUAGUAAUUUUAGUUUUUUGGAUUUUGAGCAAGUUAUUCUCUCACAAGAAUGGCAUUUUUUGUUUUACCUGACUUUUCUUCAAUUGAAUGCAUACUUAUGCCUUACAAUUCUGUUGGGUUUUGGCUUUUGCAGAUGAUUAUCGACUUUUUUGUGGCGAUCUUGGUAAUGAGGUGAAUGAUGAUGUUCUUUCAAAAGCAUUUUCACGAUUUCCAUCCUUUAACAUGGCAAGAGUAAGUGUCUGCCUCAUCUCCUUUGUUUUUCCUUAAAAUUCUUUUAUUAUUAUAAAUUGUUUGCUUGGUGUGAACUUCUUAAAUUUUAUCUUCAGAUUUUUAUAUGAAGAGCACAAAGCACUUUGUUUUAUUCAUUCUAAGGUAGGUCUCAUCUGCUGUUUAUAUUUUGGUUGGAACUUGGAUGUGUAACCGUACAAGUAGCUACAAGUUGCAUAUUGGAAUGGUCUAAGUUGUCAUGAUGCAUUUUUUCAUUUUACUUCUAACAACAUUUGACUGUAGGAUGCCUACUGACAACCUACAUCAACUUAUGCGAUUUUUCAAGCACUUAUUUUGAGAUCUCAAAGUUAGUUAAAAUCACUUUUGACCAUUAAAUAUAGGUUGGACAGCUGGAAUCAACAUUUGGAGGUUGAGUUGGUUGAAAUUGACCUGACUCACAGGCGACCUUGAAUUAUUGCUUGUUGGGUCGAUAUGAACGAAUUUGGAGUCAGGUUAGUGAACCGAUUGAGCUUCCAAGCUGGUUCAAUAUUUUGAUAUUAUUAUGAACCUUAGGGGUUGGUGUGAAGCCCUGCUUUUGGGGCUUGGAAAGAUGGUACUCUACAAUAAUUUUUGUUGGUCAAUGAAAUCUGUGUGAGAACUUUGAAAUUUUCCUUCUACCUAUGACCGUAAAAAGAAUUAACGACUUGAGUUGAAUACUGUUUAACCCCUACAUUUCAUUGCCGCUGUGGUGGUGUAAUGUGUGUGGGGGUGAUUGGAGUGUGGUAUUUGGCUAUGGGGAUCCUAGCUAGAACACCGUAAAAAACUGUACAGGGUACUUUGUUUUUUCCUUCAGUAUGUAGGUGCUUUGCUUAAUGUUCUCAUUUUUGUGUGAUAUUUGGUUGGUAAGAGUGAGCCGUAAUUGUCUCAGAAUCCAAUUGUUUUCCUUAUUUUGACUGUGCCCGCAUUCUUAUAACCUUUUGUGGAUUUUGCUGUUUUUCACUACGUUUUGAUUCAUCUACUUCUCAUAGAAUUUGUGAAUUUUGACUGUGAUUGAAAUCUUGAAACUUAUAUCUGUCUGCUUUGUCACCAUCUCUAGGUUGUCAGAGAUAAGAGGACUGGAAAAACCAAGGGCUUUGGAUUUGUUAGCUUUGCCAACCCAUCUGACCUGGCCGGAGCACUAAAGGAAAUGAAUGGUGAGUAAAAUAUUUACUCGUAUGGUGAUUCUACUUUUUGUUGAAAGUACUAAGAAUCAUAGAGGUUGUUGAUAUGCUUUUACUUUUAUGAUAAUGGUUGUAUAUAAUUUAUCUGCAAUAAUUCCAGGUAAGUAUGUGGGCAAUCGGCCAAUCAAACUACGCAAAAGUAACUGGAGGGAGAGGAUAGAUUAUGACGCACUAGAAAGACAAAAGGUACCAUUUCCACUUGUUUACUGUAGUUUCAAAUUUACGGCUUUCCAAAAGGUAAUCUGUACUUACCAAGUGUUCCUGCUUUAUUUCAUUUGUGGCAGAACCACACUCACAAGAAACCAAAGCCUUCGAAGAAGAGUAUAUUGCACAAGUGAGCUAGAGACUAGUGGGCGACGCGGUGAAUAUGGAAAUUGGGGCAGUGAAGAAGUAAGUGUUCUUUUUAUUCCUCAAAUCCAACUCGGCUCCUGGUGUUUACUGCUAUGUAGAGAUAUGGUGAAGCUUAAUGAUGAUUAUUCGAACAAAUGAUAAUAUGUGACGUGCAUUUUUUUCGUGUGUAAUACAAGGAUUAGUGGAGGAUCAUUUUAAAUGCACUAUUUAACUUCUUUUGGUUGAGUAAUUAAACAGGUUCGAUCAAGUAUAUUGAAACGUGAUUCAGUGUGUUUGGAACAUGGUUCAGUACAACAAAUGCCUAAUACAAGUGGUUGGAUUCUUUAUGUUUUGAGUUCAGCUUAAAUUUGUUAUUCAGUAUUUGAAAAUCAAGAAUCGUGUUAACUAAACGCUUCUUGAUUCAAUUUCAUGUCCUUACUUUCAUAUUCCAAGUGAGUUAACAUGUCACAAUGGUUGAAUGGAUAAUGUCUCUUUCCUCUACUUGUUUUAUGUUCACCACUUUCUCUCUUCCUCUUUUGGUUCUUUCUCUCGCCGUAAAAAACUAAUUAUAUUAACGAAGCAGGCUAAACCAAACCGUGCUCAUCCCUGUUUAAUUUAGUUGAAGUUGUAUAGAAUCUACACUUUGGUAAGAUGGAACGUUUUGCCAGAAAUCUUUCCCGCUUUUUUUUUCUUGAUACAAACGAUAGAUUCUACACAAAAGAAAUUCAUCUUCAAAUAAGCCAUUUCCAUUUAGUUCUUGAUAUCUUCUCUUUCUUUUUCUUGCCGGAAGUUCUGCUGCUUAAUGUCUGCCUUUCUCUACGUUAACGAAAAACACGAAUUUGUCGAUACUCUAAUCCCUCUUUGUAGCUACAAAGCAAAAGCUAGUUCUUAAUCUCAGAUAGAGUAAGCUCUUUGUAAACAUCAAGCAUGGGAAAGGUUCUAUUCAAACGCCCGAACGAAUCUUCGGAAAUCGCCCUUAAACUAAAAACAGAGUUGGCAAGCUCCAUCGCUUCAGCUCGCCAUCCUGCGAAUCCAAUUCCUUCAAUCAACAAAGUGUAGGUAGUUUCAUUAGGCCGGCACCCCUUUUCAACCAUUGCCGCAAGCACUUCAAUGGCAUCGACAAUCCUACGCGUUUUGCACAGCCCGAGAACAACAAUGUUGUAACUGAUAACUGUUGGCUGAAAGCCACCACUUUCCAUGUCUACCAACAACCCUAUAGCCUCAUUCACCAUCCUGUCUCUGCACAAACACGAUAUAAGCGAAUUGUAAGUAAUCUCAUCGGGGUCAAUUCCUUUGCUUACCAUCUCCGACACCAUUUGAAGCGCUCUCACUCUAUCUCCGCAAUUCCACAGUGCACUGAACAUCGUGUUGUAAGAGCUCACAUUCGGAGGACAUCCCACUUCACCGGGGUUCUCGAAGAUUUCCAAAGCCUGAUCAGCUUUUCCACUCUUACACAAAGCAGCCAAGAUUGUAUUGUAGUUCACAAUAUCCGGCAAGCAGCCAUCCGAUAUCAUGUAAUCCAAAAACUCUAUCGCCAAAUCCAAUCUCCCCUCUUUGCAGAAUGCAGAAACCAGCGGAUCAUAACUAUACGCAUCCGGCGUCAAUCCCUUGUCCUUCAUGAUCUUCAGCACAUUCACAGCAUCCUCAACUUUCCCAUGGCGACAAAGCGUGCUAAUCAAAAUGCUGUAAGUCACCACAUUCGGUUCACAACCUCUCGAAUACAUAUUGCUCACUAGCUUCUCCCCUUCCUCCCAUUUACCCCUAUUCAAAAGCGCUCGUAACAAAAUGUUGUACGAGACUACAUUAGGCGAACAACCCUUUGAAUCUAAGCUCCUAACUAAGCCGAACGCCCUAUCCAGCAUCCCUUCUCUACACAUUCCCUUAACAACUGCAUUGUAAGUAUUCAUGUCAGGUUUAAGCCCUCCAGACAACAUGUCAUCCAAAAGAUUCACCGCCUCAUCAAUUCCGCCUUCAAGAAUCAUUGCUUCGAUCAAAAUCAUGUAAGUAAUCACAGUCGGCCUGCAAUUAUCCUUCACCAACUGAUCCAAAACCUUCAAAGCUAAUCCUAGCUUGCCCCUGCCACAAAGACUCCCAAUCAUGAUAUUGUAAGUAACAACAUCAGGUGAAAAUCCCCGACUCCUCAUCCUAUCAAGUACCUUGUUUGCUGAAUCAAUCCGAUUCGCCUUACAGAACCCGCUGAUCAACGCAUUGUACGAAAAACAAAUCAGGCUCACCAUACUUCUCCAAAAUCUGCAUAACCCGAACUGCCUUUUCGACGUUCCUCGAAUUGAAGAACCCUUUGAUGAGCUUUGUGUAGAGAAUCACAUCAGGCCUGUACCCCUCGUUAACCAUUAGCUCAAGAAAGUAGAGUGCUUCAUUGUACUGUCCUGCUUUGCAGGACCUGUCGAGAACUUUCAUCAAAUGGGUUUCUUUGGAAUCAUUGUUCUGCAACUGGGUCGCUCUUACUUCGGCGGAAGCCGCCGCCUUUGGUGGUUUUCUGCGGCGGUUUCCGUUGGACGAAAUGCAAACCCUGCAACUCAAGGCACUCGUUUGGCGGGAAGACGGUUUCAACAAAUGGGUUUUCUUUGAUGUUAUGGUUCUGCAAAUGGGUCGGUUUCGCUUCGGCGGAAGCAGCCGCCUUUGGCGGGUUUCUGCGGCGGUUUCCGCCGUUUGAUAGAAUGCAAACCCUGCAGCUCCCGGCGCUGGUUUGGUGGGAGGAAGGAUUCGGGUGGGUGGUGUCGUGGAGGCUCUGAGGCAACAGCUUGGCGGCAACUGUUGUCAUUGGUGGAGGAUUUGUUGAGGUGAUUUUUCAGCUCUCAUGGAGGAAUUGUUUUUGCAGAAAGUUUGGAGAUUUGCAUGGAGAAAGUGACCAAAUUGGAAAGAGGCCGAUAUCAUGGACAAAGGAUUCCCGUUAGAUUUCGGACAUGUGUUUUGGAUAGGAUAAGGAAUCUUGUCGCACGUUGUAACUUGCUGAGAUUUUCGGUGUUGGGCCGGGACAUAUAUGUGAACUCGAAACUUGGGUUGGGCUACGGUACCAACGGUAUUAACUUGUGGCCCAACCAAAUGAGAAAUUUUUGGGUCCGGCAUGUAGGUCACCCACCAUGAGAUCAGACUUGUGCGACCAUCCAAUAAGAAGGUCCGUCCAAAGACAAAAACAUCUCACCCAGGCCCACCUUCUUGUAUUUUGGCCCACUCACUGUUCAUCGUGCACCCUUUGGGUCUUUGGCCGGACAGCCACUUGACAUAGGCAUUCGGACCGAAGAACUCCGCAUACAAAGGGGAUUUGUGGGCAAUGUAGGGCCAACAUGGGGGCAGUUACCCUACUGAAGUUUUUUCCUCAACCACCGCACAACAGAGCACUACCGCCUGCAUUAGGGUGGGUCGAGCAUAAGGUUGUGUGGGAUCUGCGUGUGUUACUCUUUAUGUGCAUGGCUAGACGAGUGACGUGAUCCACUAGCCAGACCCAACUCCGAAGAUAUUUAGCAGGUGAGUCUCGCCCAUAGUGUAAUCUGGUGCGUGGCCGGGACUUAGACUGUCACGCCCCGAUCCUGACAUACGUACAUGAUCGACACGUGACGUUACCAAGUACUCGUAUAUCUAACAUACCCAGCCUUCAGGAUACUGACAAAGCAUAACUCAAGUUCGAAUUGCGUAUUGAUUUUUGUUAGAUUGCUUACGUACCCUCCGACGAGAUCAAGCCAUUCGUAGUUCACAAUUUGUUAAACUCUGAAUUUUUCGUAAAACACAUUCCUAGCAGAAAACAUAGAGUACCACACUACACAUCAACCAUAAGCCAAACAAGAGUUGUCAUCUUGCAAUUCACACACACAUAUGCUUUCCAACACCAUUCCACAAUCACGUCAAUUAAUAACUCAUACAAUACACCAAAAUGCAGGGUUAGAGUGACACAGUUUCAGUCAAAGCCUACAUCUCUGAAGAAUGUGAUUUCGGACCACUCAACGAAAUCCAACAACAUCGGGUUCCGGACCACUCAACAGAACCAAAAUACCAAGUGGGAUUCUGGACCACCUAACGAAAUCCAAACCAGGAUACAAUUUCGGACCACUCAUCGGAAUCGCAGAGUAGAAGGGAUUCGAACCUCUCAACGAAAUCACAGAGCACGGGGGAUUUCAGACCACUCAAUGGAAUCUUGACGAAGCAGGGAACCAGACUAUUCAAUGAAACCCCAGCAGAACCCAGUUCUGAACCACUCAUCUGAGCCGAGUAGAGGUCCAAGAAAAAUAUCAAUGACUCAAAGAAGCAAGACAUGAAUCAAAGUACUUAAUUUAGAACAGCUCAAUGAAACGAGGUAUGAAACAAGCUUUGAAGCAACGAACCCUAUGACAAUAGGUUACAGGUCCACUACUAGCCCUCACAUUUCAUCAAACAAUUCAACAUGCAUUUCAAAUCACAUUUCACAAAUAUUUCCAAUGCAUAAGUCAAAUCAUAUUUCAUAAUAUUAGAUUGAUGGCUAAUUAUUAAAAUCACAUUUUAAUAGAAAACACAUUUAUAAAACCAAGUCAUAUCCACAAAGGAUACUAAAUACGAAAUCAAGGUAAUAACCAUGUUUGUACCAUACUUGACCAAUCCCGAAACUACUGAGCACCGGUCAACGUUAUACCGUCAAGGACCUAGAAAAGUUUCCCUCCAACCAGGAGGCCAAUCACAGCGCGACACGUGUCGACAUCAAAAGCCAAUCUAGCGCGACACGUGUCAACAUCAGAAGCCAAUCACAACACGACACGUGUCAAUGUCAGAAUGAAACUAAAAACUCUCUUCUAUAAAUAGAGAUCAUUCUCUCACAAUAUUUCCUAAUGUCAUUUGUACUAAAUCAUUCACUAGUACUCACUAAAGGAGAGUUUGAACCUAUGUACUUGUGUAAACCCUUCACAAUUAAUGAGAACUCCUCUACUCUGUGCCAAUCUGGGUGAACCAUGUACAUCUUGUGUUUGCUUCCCUAUCUCUAUUCAUUUACAUACUUAUCCACACUAAUGACCGGAGCAAUCUAGCGAAGGUCACAAACUUAACACUUUUUGUUGGACCAAAGUCCUUACUGAUUUUGUGCAUUAACAUUUGGCGCCAUCUGUGGGAACGACACUUAUUCCCACUCUCUUCAACUUUGUCAAGCUGGUUUCCACCAUUCGUACACACUCUUUUGACCAGGCAUCCCUCUCCAACAUGGGGAGUGAAGGAAGCCACAAACAUACAGAAUGACACCCCUCUUGCACCUAGUGCGAAACAACGAAAGAAGGAAGGAAAGAUGGUUGCUUUUCAAGUUAAAGUCGAUGAGUUAGAAGCUCAGAACAACAAGAUAUCAAUGAAGAAUAAGGUCCUCCAAGAGCAGUAUGAGAAGCUCUUUGAGACGCUCCACGAAACUAGGCGCACUCAAACACGCGAGCUUGUUGCCCCUGUAGACAUCAACCAUCAUCUGGGUGACCCCCAACACGGAGGGUCACCUUCCUUCGACAUGGGUAUCCCUGAUGAAGAGCGAGCUAAUCAUCAAAACAUUGAUCAACAUGAGACUUUUCUUAACCCAGUUGCUUCGACCCGAAGUAAGAGAAGUGAAGGAAAGACACCUCAUUGCAAAAGGGUUGGAAUGAUCGAAAGUCGUUUAUUUGUGACUGCCAAGACUUCCUAAAGUAACGUCGAGAGAAUCCCCUCCACAUAUGCUCGAAGAUCAAUGACCCAAUGGUUUCUGAAAGACUCAGUCCCCUCCUACGACCCAGCCCAGCUGCCAAUCUAGGGAAGGAACGACAGGUCCCAGAGGAACAUGACGGUAUAUGGGAUUCUGAGGUAUAUUCUGACAGACUCGCCCUAGAAAGUCAGUAUGGCGAGUCCAAGGAAAAAUCACACGCCUUUGCACAAACUUUUCUUACUUCCAAAAGGCGAUGUAGACUUACGAAAGAAAAUCCCAGUGGUACAUGACUUCACUCAAGACCCCCUAGUCCUACAGCUCAUUGAGGAAGUAGUAAACAAGUUGAAGGCCGAACGUCAUGCCGAGAUACCUAAUUGGAACCAACCUAGGCAUAACCUUCUUACAAGGAGGAUCCUCGACACCCCCCUCCAAGCAAAGACAAAGCACAAGCUUGGCUUGCAACUCUAUACUGGAAAUGAGGACCCGAUUGAACACUUUAACCUCUUUGAUUCCACCAUGGCAUAUCGGAUGCACACCAACGAAGAGUGAUGUCCUCUCUUCCCCUCCACCCUCUCUAGCGGAGCUCUAAACUGGUAUUGCCAUCUUCCACCUGAGAUAGUAGACUUAUUUGAGGAACUGAGGAAAUUGUUUGUCUCUCAACACAUAUUCUAGACCGAUCACUUGCAUUCUAUAGAUGACUUGUACACUAUUCGCCAGAAGCCGGAUGAGUCACUACGAGAGUAUGCCGGUAAAUUCAGCCAUGAGUAUUCUCGCUGCGCUGAGGCAGAUGACAAGACCGCCCUUAAGGCCUUCACGGCAGGCCUACGUGAUUGGUUCUUCAACUACAUGAUCAAUGCCAACACUUAGAAGACUUACUCUGAGGUGAUGGCACAUGUUUACAACCAUGCCUCCGCCGAAGCAAGGACAUACCAAGGGAACCCCCAUAUGGUUAACCCCAAUCAACAAGUGGGAAGUAGAAGUCAAGUUCUACCAAGUGAGGAGAUAUUGGCCAUUCAGACACCCAUUGCAUCGUCUCCUACCUCAUUUAGCUACUCGCUAAGUCACCAAACGUAUCUGUCUCUUGGUAAGAGGAAGGAUUUUUACUCUCAGCAAGCCCAUUACAACAAGAGGGAUAAAAGUUCGUAUCAAGACAACCAGGGGUGAACGUACCGUCGGCUAUUAUAACUAUGGGGCCAAGCCUCACUCUUUCAAAGUGGAAGACUAGGUACUGAAAGAAAUGCUAUUAUAAGAAGGCAUACACAUUACAAAUGUUUUGACUCUCAACCGCUUGAGAUCUUUUGUCACACAAGCCAUUUGGUAAAUAUUUAAAGAAGAGGGAAUUCAGACAACUUCUUCUGACUCUUUUGCAUUCCUAGCACUGGAACACUUGGUCUACGCUGACCUACCCUUAUACUCCAACUCAGAGCUUCAACAUGCGUACUUUGACACAAAGUAUGUGAUACUAAGUGUUACAACCAACAUGGUUCACAUAUCAAAAGCAUGGAUCCCUUCAUGCAUAACAAAACAUUCAUAAGCAUCACUCAUAUCAAUCAACAUAAACAUCACACAUUCUAACACAUUCAUACAUAAACAUCAUACAUUCCAACACAUUAAUACAUAAACAUUAUACAUUCCAACACAUCCAUACAUAAGCUAACUGUGCUUGAAAGGGUUCAACAUACUUUGUGUCUUCGACACUUGCUAUAAUGUGCCUCGACACCUUGCCCUUAUUCUCACCAACCAGGUGAUGAAAUAUGAAGAAGGAACUCAUCUUCAUGCCACCAACCAGGUGAUGAAAUGUACAACUCGUACUCUAAUAUUAUUUGGCAACUUGCCACUCAUGCCAUCAACCAGGUGAAGAAGGAACCCAUCUUAAUGCCACCUACCAGGUGAUGAAAUGUAUAACCCGUAUUUUUCCUUCAUGCCACUAACCAGGUGAUGAAAUGUACAACCCGUACUCUAAUAUCAUUUGGCAACUUGCCACUCAUGCCACCAACCAGGUGAAAAAGGAACUCAUCUUCGUGCCACCAACCAGGUGAUGAAAUGUACAAGCCGUACUCUAAUAUCAUUUCGCAACUUGCCACUCAUGCCACCAACCAGGUGAAGAAGGAACUCAUCUUCGUGCCACUAACCAGGUGAUGAAAUGUGAUGAAAUGUGAUGAAGGAACUCACUUUGGUACCACCAACCAAGAGAUGAAAGCAACUCACCAUUCAUUCCACCAACUAGAAAACGAGUGGUACAACUUGUACAUGUGAACUCCUAGCAUUCACAAAUAAUCAAAAGCCCUCAAGUUUUACAACUCAACUAGGGGGCACUUAUGCCCAACAAGAGUUUAUAGUCACCAACAAAAGUCUUAUUGCAAGCCAACAACAACUUCAGUGCAUGGCAUACGAAGAUCAAGCUAUUCAGCCCUCUUGCAUUUGCUUCAAACAUUUCUCUUUUGUAACAAUGCAAACACUACAACUCGUAGAAAGCUUCACACACUCUUGAUCAAGACAGUGUGAAGCAAAACCAAUUUAUGGUGCCAACAAGAGCUUUAUCAAUGGAGGGCAACCACAAUUCUCAAAAGCUUCACACACUCUUGAUCAAGACAGUGUGAAGCAACCAAUUUAUGGUGCCAAACAAGAGCUUUAUCAAUGGAGGCAACCAUAAUUAUCAAACGCUUCACACACUCUUGAUCAAGACAGUGUGAAAGCAAAACCAAGUUAUGGUGCCAACAAGAGCUUCAUCAAAGGAGUUCAACCACAAUUCUCAAAAGCUUCACACACUCUUGAUCAAGACAGUGUGAAGCAAAACCAAUUUAUGGUGCCAACAUGAGCUUCAUCAAAGGAAUUCAACCACAAUUCUCAAAAUCUUCACACACUAUUGAUCAAGACAGUGUGAAGCAAAACCAAUUUAUGGUGCUAACAAGAGUUUCAUCAAUGAAGGGCAACUACAACUUGUAGAAAGCUUCACACACACUCUUGAUCAAGACUGUUUGAAGCAAAUUCCAUUUAUAUGGUUCGUCCAAACCUUCGACUACUACAAGAUGUGUGCUUGCAUCACAAUCUCUUGCUCAACAGUAUGGAAGUAAAAUUUGUAUAUGUUGUCUCCCCACAUUUUCAAAUUUCUAGUUUCCCAAAAAAAAUAAAAAAAUAAAGGAAAAUUCUACAAGGCUUCAUCAAUGGAGGACAACUACAAAUUCUCAAAAGCUUCACACUAUCUUGAUCAAGAUAGUGUGAAGCAAAAUCAAUUCAUGGUACCCAACAAAGCUUCACCAUAAAAGCUUCACCAACAAAAGCUUCAUCAAUAGAGGACAACUACAAAUUCUCAAAAGCAUCACACUAUCUUGAUCAAGAUAGUGUGAAGCAAAAUCAAUUCAUGGUACCCAACAAAAAGCUUUAAGCUCCAAAAGCUUCACUCAAAAGCUUUCAAACACCACAGCUAACAAAAGCUUCACCCACAAAAGCUUCACCUACAAAAGCUUCACCCAUAAAAGCUUUACCAACAAAAGUUUCACCAACAAAAGCUUCACCCACCACAAAAGCUNNNNNNNNNNNNNNNNNNNNNNNNNNNNNNNNNNNNNNNNNNNNNNNNNNNNNNNNNNNNNNNNNNNNNNNNNNNNNNNNNNNNNNNNNNNNNNNNNNNNNNNNNNNNNNNNNNNNNNNNNNNNNNNNNNNNNNNNNNNNNNNNNNNNNNNNNNNNNNNNNNNNNNNNNNNNNNNNNNNNNNNNNNNNNNNNNNNNNNNNNNNNNNNNNNNNNNNNNNNNNNNNNNNNNNNNNNNNNNNNNNNNNNNNNNNNNNNNNNNNNNNNNNNNNNNNNNNNNNNNNNNNNNNNNNNNNNNNNNNNNNNNNNNNNNNNNNNNNNNNNNNNNNNNNNNNNNNNNNNNNNNNNNNNNNNNNNNNNNNNNNNNNNNNNNNNNNNNNNNNNNNNNNNNNNNNNNNNNNNNNNNNNNNNNNNNNNNNNNNNNNNNNNNNNNNNNNNNNNNNNNNNNNNNNNNNNNNNNNNNNNNNNNNNNNNNNNNNNNNNNNNNNNNNNNNNNNNNNNNNACAAUCGUGGGACAUUAAAAAUGGGAAGUUGAUUGUUGAUUUUUUUUCCUCACUCUCAUACAGGUGAACUUGGUUCAUUCCAUUCUUAGGGAGAAGAAGGAUCCACUAGGAAUGGAUAGAAAGAUUGGAAUAGCCUCUUCAUUAGCCGGAAGGCAUUUGUCUCCACUGAAGAACGAACAAAAAAAAAGGUUAUUGUUUAGGUAGGAUGUAGUCUAAUGGCUAAAGCUCUGUCGGUUUCUUGUAGGCUGAACUCUCUUCCCUUUAGGCUCAGUGUUGUUUUGGGGUAGGAUGGUAAAAAAAAGAAAAGAAAUGUACUUGUUUAAUCUCCGCUAAAAAAUAAUAAAACAACACCACCCAACAUGUGCUUGGAAAAAUAACCCAAUCAAAUGAAAAAAAAGAAGGUACUUUCUUCAUCAUAUAAUAACAAUAGAAAAAAAAAAGAGUGCAAGAGGAUGGUGGGUGUCGACGAUUUUGGAGAAGGGUUGCCAGCACUAGGAUUAGGUUCAUUGGAUUAAAUAAAAUGGGUGUAGAGAGAGAUUUUUUGCUGUUUGUGUUUGGGUUUAUAAAAUUGUUUUUUUUAUAUAUUUAUUUUUGAGUGAUUUGGAAAUUUGGUAGAUAAAUUUUUUUAGUUGGUUGUAAAGAUAAGAUAGUUGGGUUCAAAUAAAAUUUCUCUAGCCUUAUCUAUACUACUACAACAUAAAAUCCUACCUAAAAAAGGUCUUACAAUAAAACUACGACACAUAAUAAAAUAUUAAACUAGUAAAUAAAAGGUUUUCCAUUUAAAGUCAAAUUUGGAUUUCUCAGAAAAAACAGACUUUUGAUCGGCCAAGUCUUUUUUGAAAACUUAAGAUGUCCCCAACAAAUCCUACAACCUUCCUCAAAAUAUGCCAUCUUGACCUCUAAAAUACCCAAAACGUCUAAAAACGUUAAUAUGGGAAAGCUGCACGGGAGGCCUUCUUUUAUUCGCCACAAUCAAACACCUUUGUAGAAAAAUCUGGAUUUUGACGCAAUCAUCUUGAAAGACUCAUGAACAUCCUCCAAUGUAAUUACUCCAAAAUCCAUCUGUUUGAUCAAAUUAUGCUCAAGAGGAAGUUGAAUGUCCUACAUUGGAAAUGUAUAACAAAGUAUUAAAAUCCUACCAAAAUAACCAAUAAAUUAUAACUAAGAGUAGGGUAAAUAUAUAUAAAUGAAAUCGACUCAUCACAGUGGGCAAGAGAAUUAGAGUGAUGAUUGAUUGCCUUACCAGAGACGAACCCUAGAACGAUGUAUUUGUACUAGUUAGAAGAAAGACCAUUUUAGGAUAUAAUCCUUGUUCUAAGUCGGGAGAAUCCUAGAGAAUAUCUAGAGGUAGAUAUUGCAUCAUCUUUAGGAGUGUUAUUACUUGUAGCGCACGCAAACUCUUAGAUUGUAGGAAUGCCAAGACAUAGAAAGGAUCUGGUGUACCAGAUCAAAUCCCCGUGUCUUACAAAACAAACAUGGUUAUUCUCAGAGAAGUUGCUUGGAUGUCGCCCAUUGCUUCGGAAUAGGAUGAUGGUGGGACCACUGCUCUGUUAAUCUAGCUAUGCUCGGAGCUGUUGCGUGCAUGAUCGGAUUUCUCAGGUAACUGUAUUCCGAUCCACUUACUCUAAGACUGGAAAAUCAUCAUCCAUAAUUGUCCCAAACUAUGUAUCUAAAAGGAAGCUGUUCCACUUGAGGAUGGAUAGUUAUCCAAAGACCAUGCACCUUGAAUGUGAUGGUGGUUGUAUUAGAGAUUGUUGGUUGGCCAUCUAAUGAAAGGGUUCUGCAGAAAUUGAAAGGCAUUUUGGUCUAUUCUUUCCUAAUAAGUAGGGGUGGGUUGGAAAAACCGAAAAUCAAAAAAAAGGGGACCGAAAACCGAACCGAGGCCGAAAAAAUCGAACUGAAAAAAAAUCAAAUCGAAUAUGGUGAACCAACCGAAUCAAAUCUAGUUGUUCAGUUUUAGUUUUUGGGGUUCGAAAACUGAACCGAACCGAAGUUAAUUAUUUUAUUAAUUAAUAAUCCUAUUCUAGAAACGGUGUCGUUUUACCCCAAGUGUAAUCCUAACCCAGUAACCCUAAAGCCUUCACGCAACGCCUCCUCUCUCUUUCUCUCUCGGUCUUCAACUUCAAUCACUCUUAGUGUCUCUCAAAGUCUCUGUCUCUCUCGGUCUUGAAUCACAAGUGACCCGCGACGACAUGACCAUUCUCACUCUCAAUCUCUGACACCUUGCCCUCGGUCUCUCAUCCCGCCGUCAGCUUCUUCUUGUCGUUUCGAGUCUCGACAGCAAAAGGUUAGUCUCACACUCUCACUUCUCUCGCACUUUCUCACCACCCAAACAGAACGUAACAUGCAUGAGAUGUAUUUUUAGAAUUCUUUUUGUGCUGAUUUGUUCAUGGAUUUGCUUGUAUUUGGAUAUUUGGUUUAUGAUUCAUGGAUGGGUUUAAAGAUUGGUGUUUUAUUCAAUUUUGCUGCAUUUUGAGCUUAUUUUUCUACUCUACUCUGGUGAUUUGUGUAGACUCUAUCCCGAAAAGCCCAUGUCUUUCGCCUUUGUUAUUCUCAAUGAGCUUGUUGAGGUCAGCUUGCUUCCCAGUUUGCCAAUUUCUUAUUCAUUGCUUCUUUAGAUUUUGAUGCAUAUAUUUAAUAUGGAGCUAGGAUUCGAUUCUCGGGCCAAUGAUUGUAUGGUUAGUUGUGUGCAAGGAAGAAAAAAUCGAUAAUAAUAUUGGCGAUAUUUUCGCCGAUAUUAUCGUUUUUUUUGGGGUCCGAUAUUUUUUUAACUAUCCAAAUGGUUUUCGUCAAAAUAUCACAAUAUUAUCGAUAAUAUCAAUAAUAUCGCGAUAUUUUUUCGAAAUUAUCGAUAAUAUCGCGAUAUAAUAUCCAAAAAUACUUAAAAAUGUUGAGAAAUCUCAACACAUACUACACUUGAUCAUAGCCCAAAGGCCGAGCAAGACAUGCUUUUCUCAGCUUGGGAAUGUGGCUUUUAUAGGCCUUCUUGCUUGCUCACUGCCCUCGCGUGGGCGAUGUGGGACUCGACCUAAUGGGAGAGAAAAUCAGAAUUUCGGCCGGAAAUCCACACCCACUUUAAACGGUCAUAACUUUGUCAAAACUCAAUAAAAUCAAGCAAGAAAAAAACGAAAGUUGUAGCCCUCGAAGAGACGAAGAGAAUGAUACCUCACAAGACGUCUGAAUCGUCGUGGUUUGGCCGGAAAAUGCCUCGAAAUCCACUGAGGUCGCCGGAAACUGGGUAAGAUUCAAAUGAGUAUAACUUUUUCAAUACUCAAUGAAAUUGAGUGAAACAAAAAGGAAAGUUGUACUACUCGACGAGACGAAGAGAUUGAUAUCUUGCACGCCGGCAAAAUCGCCAUGGUUUGGCUGGAAAACCAGUGUCAAAUUCGUCACAUUAUUCUUCAUCAUUUUUAUUCACUUCCCUUUUUUUUUUUUUUAAUAUCCUAAAUAAAACCUCCCAAUAUUGUACUAAUUAAUUAUAUAUAUGAAUGAUUAUGGUGUGUUUAAAACUUCUUUCAUUAAUUACUACAUAUUUUCUACACUCACAAUAUUUGCCAGCUCGCUAUAUAAUCAACUUAAAUCAGUUAAAUCCAUCAUGCAAUGCAUUUCCUUCCUUCUAAUUUUUUGUGAUAAACUAAUAGAUAAUUGACUAAAUAACAUCCUGCAAAGUUUCAUUAAAAAAUUCCAAGUUUUUCUUACAAUUUCCGUGGUUUCCAUGUAAUUUUUAUCGAUAUCGAUAUUAUCCCGAUAUUUCCAUCGAUAUUUCAGUGUUUUCGGACUACCGAUAUUUCCGAUAUUACCGAUAUUUUCGAUAUUUUCCUUGGUUGUGUGUGUAUGUGUGUUACUCGCCUAAUGGCUAGAAAUAACCAAGUCUUAUAUGGUGUAAAAUCCCAUCCCAUCCCAUUCGAAUUUCGAAGUGUUUUUAAUGCCGGAUGAAUUUUGGCAUACAUAGGAGCUUUUAAUUUUGCUCAAGUUUACUCUAUGGAGUGUCCUAUUAUUUAUUUAUAUAUUUUGGGUAUGCAGGAGCUAAGGGUUAAGCCAUGUCCUGUAGUCUUUGUGGCUCUUUCUGCUGGUACAGAAGCUUGUAUGUACAAGUUUUUUCGGGUAAGUUUUCUGAGUAGUGGAUACCCGACUUUGUAUUUGGCACUGAUAAGUUGAUUUUUGGAAUUGUUGAAGUAUUAGCUGGUCUUUUCUGAUUUUAAUUUCUAAUGUCUUUGUAAACUAAGCUAUACCGUGUAAUAGAAAAUUUGGUAUAAUGUAGAGGAUGAUCAGAUUCUCUGACAGGAAUUUGUGUAUAGUGGUCAUGACAACAUUACAUCUCAGGUAUAGAGUGCCUUAUAUUUGUGUAUUCAGUUUAAAAACAUGUCGGUGUCUUUUUUAUUCACUAAUGGCCCAUUAUUAAUCCCUCUAUACAGAAUUCUAGAUAAGAUGUAUUCGUUCAAUAAACAAACAGGUGUGGUGGGUCAUAGCAGUUUUAUUGAUGUUUUCGAAGUGAUAUGUGGUUCUUUUGCUUCAUAUUGUCACGUAAAAAAGAGCUAAAAAAAUAUAAUAACAAAAAAUAGGAUGAUAGGGUCGACCCUGUGUACACGUAAAUAAUAUGAUUGAAUCAUUCCGAAUAAAUCAUGCAGACUUUAAUACGGAACGAGAAAUUACUCUGGUUUUCCGUUUCGGAUAUUGGCAAAUCAAUGCCGAGUAAACUCUCAGAUUUUGAGCCAAAACCUAAGCCUCUUAGCGUGGCACAAUAGAGGACAUUAAUCGGCCAAAUCAAUAUCUUAGAGUAAGAAAUUGGUCCUCUCAUGAUGAGAAGACUGUAAACACAACAUGAGCCUACCAGAUUGGGUUGGAAGUUAGAGAUCCUUGUUGUGCAUUCAUAUGCCUCAUGACUGAUAGCUGACCCACAAUGCCGUGGAAAUCGAAGGAAUGCCGUUGACAUGAUCAAAGAUCAAGGACCUAACCAUUAGACAUCAUGAUGCCUCAGGUCAAAGGACUACUUUGCAUAUUGCAACUUUAGAGGUCAUAAUGACAAUGUAUGGUUCGAACUUCUUUACGGUUCAGUGUACUCGAUUACCUUCGAGCCUAUGUGUUUGUCCCUUCAGUGUCCAACACCAAAUAACUGAGCUAGUUCAUACUCACGUUUGAGUCAACAUAACACAUACUACCUUAGCGAUGUCAAUGCCUAAUUGCAAUCCUAUGGCUAGGAACGUUAGGAUGAACAUAAGAGAAAGGUCUCGAUAAUUCUAACUCAAUUAGAUCAAUUAUCUCUUAGAACAAAUACAUUCCUUGGAUUCCCUUAUUGCGUAAACACAUGAUACAAUAAUAGUGGAUUAACAAUAAAAACUGUUUCAUAGAGCCUCACUAGUAGUAUAAUGCAUUAAAGCAAUUAUGUUCUAAUAUUCCUUUUAAUUUACAUUUUACGCUACAGAUUUAAUAUUUUAAAUUAAUUUACACCAUGAUACAAAAUACGUUUUAUGUAUACAUGUCUUUUUGCUCUACAAUGCACAUCUGAUAAAUGUAACCAAAAAGCUAUAAUAUAGUUACUUUACUUUCUCUUCACUUUUUUCUGAGAGAUAUCAUAGGGAUUGUCUUUGAUUUCUCUUGUCAGAGGCUCCAUAACAUUUACCGAUCGUAGGUCCUUUACUCUCAUAACAUAUGGUAGACUCACCCAUUUACUAGUCUAAUGCACUCAAAACAUCUCCAUGUAUCUAAUACCCAUCUUAUCCUGAUAUAUGAUCAGCUGGAUUUGAGACAAGUCUGAUUGGUGGGCUUUGUCAGAUUGGAAUUGACUACGUUAUGCGAAUUGUUCUGAGGCAACUUGGUGAGGAGGUUGUUGACCCUUCCCCUCUGGCAGCGGAUAUCUUUCGCGUAAUGAUAUUAAUGGUAGCGUUAGUAUUUAAUGCUCUGUAGUCUUUUGAUGCGUGCCCGUGGGGUUUGUCGCUUGGCUUGAGCUACGCCCCACCUAUUAUCACAGUAAAAGUUACUGGGAUGUAAUGUUGGAACCAACUCCAAGUUCAGUAAAUGAACUUCUUCAUCCAGAACGCUUCUUUGGCCGGUUCAAGCUGUAGCCGACAUAUUCAGACUCUGUCGUGGAAUCAGCAUUACACUUUCUUCUUGCUUUUCUGCACAAUUAUAACUUUGACGAAGCCUUCCCAAACCGAACAUUGAAUAUUUCACAGCUUCGAAAAAUUAGUUAUAGUCGAAACAACAUCAUACAGAUAUCCCCUAAGGCGCCUCGUGUUAUUUUUCAAAACGACUUUGGGAGAGCUUUUAAUCCUAUGAAAAAAAUAACAAAAAAAAAAAAAAACAAAAAUUAGUUUGAACGAUCAUCAGUAAAAAUAAUUGGAGAAAUUAUUAGCUGGGAUAAGCCAUGAUGAUAAUCCAUAGGCCUUGCGAAGGACUCAUAUAUCUCGCAACUCGGGAGUGCUUCCUUGGUGUCGAGUGCUGUUGCUACUCCACUCAUUCACCACGUAUGGCUAUAUAAACCAUGUAUUCCUCUCUACUAACUCUUCAGCUUAAAGGAAUAAUCAUAGCAUUUAAUAAUAUGGACCAUCAAGUUUCCUCUUUAUCACUCAUAGACACCUGCUAUACUGCAAAAGCCACAUUUAACCAAAAGAGAAAUUAUUGUUAAAUAAUAAAAUAACAAUAUAUAAAAUAUUGUUGUUGUAUGAAUCAUUAUGUGCAUACUUAAAUGUCUGAAAGAAUGGAAGCCCAAUAUUAUAAAGCACCGUUAGAGGAUUAUCAAUCGUGACAGUUAAGCAAUUAUAUAGGCUAUUUUGGCUAUAAACUCAAUAAGAGCAAUAAUAGAUUUUUUUUCGUGAAUUACCUCAGCCUUUUUGCAAAGCUUACAUGUGCAUAGUUUCAUGUGCAGAUGUAACGCUAUAGCGUGGCGAUAAGACACAUGUGUCAGUACUGUUGCCUUACCACCUAUGUGGACGAGCAAUUAGACAGCACGGUAAUAUUAGUCAAUUAAAGGGAUAUCCUAUCUAUUUAUUUUGUGGGUUAUGGAUUAGGAAGGACAGCUAAGUAUGCUCGCCUGACUCCGAAAGAUGACUAUACUACAUGAAUUUUCAGGACUGACAUUGGAAGAAAGAUUGUUUUCCAUGGUGGAGCGUCAAUAUCCAUCUUCAACUAUAUAAGAAUAUAUAGGUGUUGCAAUUUAUACUCACUUAUAGUAUCCUUGCUAUUAGGAGGAAUACUAGGAAAGAAAUAAAAGGCCUUGUCCUUAUCUGAUAACAAUAUAUAUAGCAGAAUUUUAAUCUCACGUUGUUCAAUAAUCUUUGUGUUACGAAUCCUACUUAACUUCUAGACAAGUUUGAAAUAAAAGUACCAAAUGUACAUGAUUUCAUGAGUAUAGAGCGUAAAAUAUAUAAAAAUCUACAGCAUAUUAUACUAGUUUUCUGAGUGGUAUUCUAAUUUGUCGACGAAUGUAUAGGAGAAAACGUUUAGUUAGCUAUUCAAGCUAUCGAGUCCUAUCACUAAGAUGCAUUUCCUAAAUCUUGUUUCCUAUAUGCUCAUUCCAGUGCGAAUGGGCAUUUCUGGCACUCAAACCCAUCAUCUACUUUUUUCCUGAUAGCCAGACGCACGAGAGACUAUUGCAUGGUGGAGAGCGGUGAGGAGAGUAAUUCAUGUGUACCCCAAAUGUAUUAUAUAUUAAAUAAUGUCAGUCUACAUAUAACAUAGGAAAUACAACUCAUCCCUAACAGAAAGUUCGUGAGUUGUUGGUGGUAACUGUGUUGUGCAACUAACGAUAACGACACAAAGCGACGAGCCGUGAUCUGGCAUUUGGCCACAAAACCCAUGCAUGGUUUUUGAGGACAUCUUCGGGACAUCAAAUCGAACCGGGCCGCGUACACUUAUCGAGUGUGAACGCCAGAUUCUCUGUUUUGGUUUGAGCAUAAGGAUAUACAAGAAAACCCUUUUUCCGAUUUCUAGUGUCUGACCUAACUCUCCAAUAAUGUUCCAUAUUGUUAGAUAACUAGACAACUACCCCCUUCUAGAAUCAAAAUCAUUCCUCCUGUACUUUUGGACAGGCAGUAUCAGAGCACUGAAUUCCUCAUACAAUUCGUCCGUUAAACCCCUUUGAAGCUUGCAUACCUUAUCUUUUUUUUGUUUUUUAUGCCUGUGUUUUCCCAGAAUGAUAACUGGGUUUUGGUUGUUUUGUUGUAAUACAUUAAAAUACCCCAUAUAUAUAGUAGACCCGGGAGACGGGGGAAAUCCGUUUCUCGGGUUGUGGAUAAUGUCAGAGUGAUUGCUGAUUUAUUUGAUAGCUGUGAGGUCUUCUAAUGAUAUUCAUAGCUCCGUUCAGAAAGAGGAAAUUGACUCGCAUGUUUUAACAGUUCAGAUCUUCAUAAGGAGAAAUUGAGCCGAGAUGGAUUGCAUUCAAUUAAUGCAAUCUGAUAGGGUUAUCAGACUGCUAGUGAAUUUAUCAACUGAUGACAAUGCCAAAAUGAAGACAUGUCGAGAGAUGGAAAUUAAUCAUGAAUUCUAACUAGGAUACAGGGAGAGAAAAGAAUCUAAGUUUUACUCAUCUUAAGUGGCAAUUGGAUGCCUAAAACUCUAUUUUGCUUCUAAUUCCCCUCCAAAUGUCGUUAUAACAUGCCGACUUCUCGUUUAAAGUGAGAUAGCCUAUCGCGGCGCCAUUAACUUAAGCACUAGCCUUUAUAAUCCUCCACUUCCAUCAACAGGCUAUCUUCCUCAAUGCACACGAAUUUAAAACCAUUGAUUUUGUGUGCGGCGAAUACUGAGUAUAAUUAUCUAGUGAGGGAUAAUUAAAACUAUUGGGUAAGUGUAGAGAGAGUCGUUAAUCCUCUAAAAAGUAAGCAAAUGAGGACUCUCAUUAUGAUAACCCUGAUUUUGAUUACACAAUAUAGGGAUGGAUGCCACAUAUUUCGUCGAAAUAAUAUUUUCAAACCUCUUAGCUACUGUAUAUUUAUCACUUGUUUGCUUCUUUACAUUUUUAUGUAAGCACAAUUUAAUAUACACACUUAGUACAUUACGGACAUCAAUCUUGUUUGACGCUUCUAUACAUAAUUACUAAUUAUUAUCCCUUCCAAAUGCCCAGAAUGAUAUAGACACAAAUGACCUAAGCCCAUAUAGCUAGCUUGUCAAAAUGAUGUUCACCAGUUCACAAGAUUGUUGGCAUGUCCAAGGACCCACAACUAUCAUCAUUGCUAUCCUUACUUUCAAACAACUCUUCGAUUAUUGCUUCAGGUGUUCUACACGAAUCAUCUUAAGGAGUCUCAUACUAUUUUGUCUUUCAUCGUGGCCCACCUAGAAGGUCCACUACCAUUCAUUUAAAUGAGGCUCAUUGUCUACAUAACUAGCAAUAUUAUCGCUAUAUCAUCUAGGAUGGUUUACUAUAAACUGGUUGUUGAAGAUUGGAUUAUUAUUUAAGUGUUUGAUUACACGCCGAUUCAGAUUCUACGUUGGAGAACUAGGGGUUACAUUUAUAGGAACAGGGGGUUUCAAUAUGUCAGUUGAGGCUUUGUUUGGCUCCAGGGAUUUUACUAUAUGCUCAUAAUAUAUUUAGUCUAUUUAAUUUCCAUCAGUAUCUAGCUAUAAUUUUAGUAAUAUCUACUCUGAGCAUAAUCACCGCUAAAAUGUGCAUCGGAUUGUAUCCUCCAACCAUAGAAACUUAGCAGUUCUGGACUGGUGACGCAAAACCUACUGACUAAGUUCCGUGCGAUGACUUCAGUGUAUUGACCAGAGUAGAUAACUCAUAAUACCAGGUUACGUUAAUUCUGUGUGAGAUGAAAUCCACUAUAUAAUCUAAGUAAGUAAAGAUUCGACAGUGACUUGUAAUGUUUUUUUUUCGCGUUUCACUUUGCAAGUCCUUUAGUAGCUUUUAAUAUAGGCUUCGCUACUUUGACAUAGACAUGUCUGUCAACAAUCCCCGAAAUCUUAACUCGGAUGGGGUGUUAUAAUGGACUGAAUUGACUAUGUAUCGUACUCAUAGACCCUAUAACGUAAAGGUUCUUCUCUUUCAUGACGGUGAAUCUUGAUUGACUACACUAGGAGCCGAUUUGGAGAAACAAAAAACUUGGCACGAGUAAUUUUCAAACGCAACAGGAUAAUAGAAAAAUUCUCGCGUAUAAGGGCAAAUUAUUUAUGUAAUGUGAUGAAGGGAGGGCGGCGGAUUCUUGAGGCCACUCACAACAACAAUUAAGACACCCCACAAACCAAAAUGUUGAAUUAAUUUUGAGACAAUCGAAGGCAAAAACCAAGAUAGUGGUAAGUAGGGGCGAUCGUUCUAAACCCCUAGUGAGGGGAUCGUAAGGGAACGCCAAAACCUCUUAUGUCAUAAACGGUCUAAUAGGCUGACUCAAAUAUACAAAAAGAAACAGUAGUUAAAAAAAGUCGUCAAACACUAAUAGAUAGAUAAUUAGACAACACUAAGAAAGUUAAAAGGGAGAUUUGAGUUGGUGAAGUGAAUAUAUUAAUACGAAUAAAUCUAAAAAACUUAAAUAGAUUUUAAACAAUUUGGGUUGAAUGGAUAAUGAGGCUAGCUAAGGGGUUCUUUCUCCACACAUGUACUUGCUUGCAAUACAAAAAUGAAUUCCAAUUGCUCCUUCGAUAUGUUAUUGAAUAAAUACUAUAUAUAUCCUUAAAAUAAGUAGAGGCAGACUAACAUAUGAGAACUUGGAGAAAGAAAGUGCGAAGCUACCACUUACACCAAUUUAUAUCAAAAUAUAUGUGGAAUUGCACUAAUUAACUGGAGUAAUUAUUAUUAUUUCGUCUAAUUCAGUUUUUCACUCAAUAUCUUAUUAUAAUUGGAAUUGCAUACGACUAUAUCGAUAAUAAUAGGCGGCCUAUAUCAUACCAUGCGAACUCCUUGGAAUGAAGAGUACGCGAAAACAUUGCCCUACAGAGUGUUUCCCUACUGAAUAUAUAUUAGAUAUAUAGAUUGUAUAUUCUAAUUAGUCAAUACGGAAUAUUGUGAUUCAAAUGAAAAACAAGAAGCAUUGACUGUCACGACAGCCUCGUUACUAUGAUUGCAUUGAGAACUUUAUUCCAAGUAAUUUACUUAACCGUGAUCUUGUUGACUAGCAACCUUGAACAGCAAGGAUCAUUGGUGAAUAUAAGUUAUAACGAUUAGGUGUACUACUACUUAAUGUCGCGGUUGUAUUUCUAUGACGAUGCAUAACAAAUUCUGACUUACGCCAAAGUAGUAAUAAUGUCUGCUCGAGGAAAUCGUAUUCGGUUGACUUGCCCACCAACAUCAUUAAGUAUUAUAUGGAAUAAGUAAAUUGAAUUCCACAUUCAAGAACCCCGCUAUAUUAUGGACUAGUAGAGAGUCAAAAGCUCUUUAUCUCACUAGCAUAUGGCAGGAGCAUAACACAUUGGCUGAAGGUGUAUAAUCUCGUAACUUUUCCUCCCCAUACGUGUAUGCGCAUAGGAGAAGAGGUGUUUGUACGAUAUCCUCAUUACUUUACAAUUUUAUGGUAUCCCAAUAUGAAAUAACCAGGAUUGGUCACACAUUUAAGUAACCAUAUGAAUAAAAGUACAAAAGGCGAUUCACCUUAAAAAAAUAUAAUUGUUAUCCAAAAACAGUUCCAAGCACGAUCCAUGUUUGGAACAACUAGCAAAAGGGCGCGUCCAAGGGGAACUUUAUAUAUAUUAUAUAAGUCUAAUGACUGGUGAAUAGACCCACAGAAAUUCCAAUUCGGAAAAUAAUCUUAUCAAAGGGUGAGAAACUCACUAGAUGUUUAGGGUUGGUUAAUAAUAAGAAUUGAUGGAAAUGACGAGGAGGUCUUGUAGGAGAGAGAGGAGAGGAACAAUAAGAGAUCUGGAGAAUGUAGAUUAUUGAUACUUCACUCCUGGUGAGAUAUAUAUAGAAGUAAGUCUCUAUGAGGACUAGUCCUAAAAUGGCAGAAGAUAUAUAAUAUAGAUAUAUAUAUAGGAUUGAGACCAUUGUUUAAAGAUAUGAGUGCGAUAUGGGACGGUAGAUUAUAAUAGGAUCCUUUUGAUAAGUCACGAGAAUCAAAUAUAAUAAUGGACAUAUGGCAGAUAAGCAGUGGAUGAAAUUUGGUGAAUGAUGGAUAAUAUAGAACAGAGUAAAGAGAGAAAGAACAAGUUUAGUAAAGGAUAUCAGUGGUUCUAGGAAAAUCACUGUUAAUUAACUAUCUGUCGUUCACAGGUUCAAAUCCACUUAAGCUCACUUUGGGGAAGGUAGAAGGUUUUAAAUAUGACAUAUUUAGCAUCAUCACUUCUUAGAUUAUAGAUUAUUAUGUGUAUAUUUGAAUAGCUUGUGGAUGCAAAUUGUGUAAGGCAUAUCGACAUCAUAGAACAUGAAUUUGUUGUUUCUGGUUCAUACCUAUGCACUCAAGACGUGCUACUAUUGGGUCAUCAUAUGUGAGCCUUGAUAUAUCUUCUAAAAAUCUGGUGGCAAAGAUUAAUUAAGAGGAAGGCCAGAGGAUAUGAGCAUAUUUCUCUCAACCUGAAGUAGGUAGGCUGAUAAUGGUUUAUGUUUUAAGUAGAGGACUCCUUUGCGGACCAAUAUCGGCUCUUCUAGCAAUAAAUUAUUUUUUAAUUAGAUAGAAAUAAUUCUAUUCCACACUUACUUUAUUAUACAUCGUCCUAUAAGAUAUAUAGAUUAUUAUAUAUAAUAUCGAGAUACCCCUCCAGAUUUAUUUUUAUUAUAUAUAAAUAGAUAUUUUUUGUCACAACUUUUCACUAAGAUUUUCGUAAUCCUGAUAAUUAACUAACAUAUUAAAGUUUGUUCUUAAUAAUUUUUCAAAAUAGCAUUUUCAAGUGACACUGUCAAGAUGGUAGUUGGUCCAUUCAUAUGCUCUUAACUCUUGCAUAGUGGUCAACUGUAAUAUAACCUACAUUUCCAUAAAAGAGUCAUCAACUUACUACUCUCAUAAAAAUAUGCAAAUACACCAAACUUAAAAUAGUCACUUUCCCUUGCUACCUGAAUACAACAUCUUAAAAAUUUAAAGUCCCUAUCAUGACAACUUACUAAUAUUAAAAACACACAAUACAACAUUUUAAUAUUGAAAAAAAUGUGCCAUUUGAAAAUUAUUGAAAAAAAUUAAGGAAAAAGAUUAUUGGAGAGGUAGAGAAUAGAAUGUGAAGAAUUCGAAAUAAAUGAGGUAAGCAUAGUAAUGGAAGGGGUGAAUAAUGUUGAGGAAUCGGUAGUAUCACAAAAUGGGUAAAUAUUGGUUAAAGUAUCAUGCAAAAUAACUAUAAACUAAUAACGGGUAAAAAAAUGCAAGAAAACAUAAUGUUUAAAAUUAAAAACUUAUAGAUCGAAAUAAAAUAUUACUGUCGUCUAUCAUAUAUAGAAAAUUCGUGCCGUAUCCCCGAAUGCUACUUCGUGGUAGAUAAGCUUCCAGAACUCAAAUCAAUACAAGAAAGAACUCAAUUUCUCACAUCGGCUACUCAAAGUUCGUAGAUUCUGCUCACUUUCAAGAAACAUGCCCAUCUUGAGAGAACGUUGCAUUGGGAGCUCUCAGCCUGUUGGCUGUUGCAGGUUGGUGAGAUCUUAUCUCACCAGUGCGAUAUUAUUGCACGACCUUGCACUCUUGAGAUAAUCUAGGAUACAGUCGUUCAUACUGCUGCUCAGAUAUCAUCAAUUGCCAUCACGUAGCUGGCUUCAAAUUGGCCAGCCCAAUAGGCCGUGGUUGGAAUUGCCCAAUGGUCCUCCCUUAUUUUUCCUUCCGCAUUCGUGACACUGGACUCUUAUCUGUUAUCCUCUUUUUCACUUUGCAUUCUUCUCAACCAGUUCUAUAUUUUAAGAAAAAUUCCUUCAGUGACACUCUUUCAAGGAUGUUCUGGACCUUCUGUAACUGAUACCACAUAAUAUUGAGCACGAAUCGGACCUUUAGCCAAGGAGACGGAGAGAAGUGAUUCCGAGUUUCGGGGAUGAGAAAUUGGUGGGAUAAAGUAAGGAGCUGGAAGAGUGCACUCACGCCCUCUCUCAUUAAGGACGGGUACGGGAAAUCGAUAAGUGUUGUCUCCAACAAAACAAACGAAAAAAAAAAUUAUUGUUAGAUAGGAUGUAGUCUAUGUGAGCCUCUAGAAUACUCUGUGCUAGGGAUUAACCCUAUGUUCUUGUAGAGAUAUCUUAGUGACACCCUCACUCUCAUUCUUCUCUUUGAUUUUCCAGUAAAUCGUACAUGAUUUGGUCCAUCUUCCCUUAUGCUAAGCGUGUUUCAAUGCAGGUGGUGCGUACACGGGGAAGUACCAGGUAUAAAAAUUUUUUUAUGGCCGGUCAUCCACUAGUUACACACAGACAAGUUCUUUAAAGUGUUGGGAUAAUGUAUUCCGUAACUCAUCGACAGGGGAUGUUGAGGAAUAUUUUUCCCAAAGUGCAUUUCACAUGUCCAAUUCAUUUGAGUUUAUAUGAUGUCGCUGAGCAUUCAUUUUCUUGGUUAACUUGCGUCUAUAUCUCUAGCCUUACUCAGUUAUAGCAAGAUAUUAAGGGGGAAUGUUUGUUCUCUUAACGUCUUGCAUACGUAAGUUGCAUUACCCCUACACUAUUAGGGCGGUUAGUAAGUCUACACUUAAGAGGCUUGGAAUUUAAGUGGCUACGGAAGAAGUCAGCCUGCGUAUUCAAUAGCUCUAUUACCAUGAGUAGAUAAUACUGACCGGUUCAAAGAGAGAUGUAUAAAUGUUGCGAGCCUCUAGCUGAGUUUGAGUCAAAACAAUACUGGAGUACCUAGUGCUCCCUUAUAACUAUUCCAUUCGAUUUAAAAAGCUUAGAGAUGGAAAAUCAGAUAAUAUCACUUUUAAUAAGCAUGAACGAAAAUAAAUAACAAAUUUUGUAAGUCUCCAGAGCGCAUUUAAUCCCCCCUAGAGGGUUUAGGUAAGCAUGUAAGGUGCCUAUUGCUUUUGCAGAGAUUUCAGGUGCGCCGAUUAAUCCAGGGGAUAGGGGAACUAGGAAGAAAACACAAGAUAGUCACACCUUUCUUUUCAAAGCGAAACACAAGACUACAAAUCCAUCUCCCAAUUGCUGCAGAUUCACUGCUGUGCUUGCUCCCCACUAGUCCCUCAGCAAUCGUUAUUCAUAAUAUGUUGCGAAUACGCGCCUGAACCAAGAUAUCACAGGAACUGGAGCUCACUCGCUAUUAUUGACAGCGCGCCUCCUAGUGACAGAAAAUAUGGUCAUAUUUCAGAAAAGAAGAGUUCGUGGUCAUAAAAGGUCAUUCCACGAAGCUUUGCCUUUGUCCGCAAUCAGCGCAGACAGAUUAUUAGGAACCCUGAAUUUUCUUAUUUCACCAAAGUUUCAUUGAUGACUCCUAUUCCACAAUGAAUCACGCAUGUUCCUUUGGAUUUCUUUGCUCUUACUUAAUGCACCGGAAAACCAUUUUCCUUAGUCCACUCUAGUCGCACUCUCACUCCACUGUCUCCAUAUAUUUGCAAACCUUAAUUUCACAAAAUUUACAGCACAUGUCAAUCAUCUAUCUUUCAAAGAAUUGAUCGAAAUUCUUAUUCACAAUUAUUUAUAGUUUACAUAAACUUAGUGAAAUCAUAAUCCAGACAGAGAGAUGCAAGAAAAAAGGUCAUUGGGGCUGCCUCUCGUCCAUCAUAUCAAUAGCACAUUGCUUCCCAUCCGAUUUUUGGAUAGUUCCUAACUUUAUAUAGAUCUUUAAGAAUAUCUUUUUCCAUCUUUUGUCCAUGGGUGUGCGUGUCUCAUCCGGAUUUCUUCAAGAACCUCAGUUCGCACGCACCAAUUCGUGCCAUUUUUUGGCAUUCAUUGACUACCCACCGCCGGGAAUACAUUUGAGAUCGGUGAGACAUAUAUCUGAUUCUCAAUGUCAAUAGGCAUCAUGUAUGUCAAAAGACUGUACAAAUCUCAACCAGUUAAAUCUAUUAAAUUGGUUCCCUAAAUAGAAAAAGUGUAGCCCAUCUUUGACUGUCGAUUUGCUGUGAUAUUGCCUUACGAGGACUUUCAGAAUAGCGUGGACUCUAUUCUUAUACUAAGUCUGAUUAGUGAGGGAUUAAGCAUUUGCGCCUAGGUUGUAAGUUUUCAGCGCGUAUAGAGUUGUCUAUACUCUUAAUAAUCAUGUAUUUAUUCUUUCCUUAUUAUGAUAGGAUUGUAUAUACACCUCUGAUUGAAAAGAAUAAAACACAUUGGAAAGCAUUCUUUCUUCUUGGUAUCAGAGCCGAGUUAGAGAAAAAAAACGGACCAAGCCCUAGUUGGGUUGGUAUUGUCGUGCUCAGCACACUUUCGUUGUGCCUUUGUUCCGAUAAAAACAGCGAGUGACUUAACAUCAUUGUUAGUCAAGUUGUUAUUCCGUUCCUGAUCGAUUGCAGCAAGUGACUUAACAUCGUUGUUACCCACGUUCCUUCAGUUUUUCUGUCCCUGUGUUCAAUUGUUUUUUUUUCCAUCACAACGCUGCAGUUUCUGAUCUGCACUGACAUCAAGGUAGAUGGUUGACGAAACGGCGACUGGUUCUAUGAUUGUUCCUGCUGCUGCUCCAAUUAUGGUGCAGUCGGACAAUUUUAGUUUCAACAUUGGUAUGGUUUUGGAUGAGAAGAACUAUGAUUUAUGGGCUCCUUUCAUUCAAAUCCAUAUCGCUGGGAGGAAGAAGAUGGGGUAUCUUCAUAGGUCUAUCAAGGCACCUAACGAAGACGAUCCUAAAUACGAUGAUUGGUUCUCUGAAGAUAAGAGAAUUAAGAGUUGGCUAUUGUCUUCAAUGAAGCUAUAGAUUAUGAAAUGGUACAUUCGGUUAUCUACUUCGAAGGAGAUUUGGGACACUCUUAAGGCAACCUACUUUGAUGAGAAUGACGAGGAUCAAAUUUAUUCUUUGAAUAAGAAGGCAUCACAUCUUCAUCAGAAUUGCAGACCUUUAGCUACGUAUUUCGGGGAACUAACUGAGAUCUUCCAAGAGUUAUAUCACUUUAAUAAGGUGUCCAUGAAGUGUGAGAACGACAUUCAAACGUUUCAUAAAUCCCAUAAAAUACAACGAGUCUAUAUGGUUCUUGGUGGCCUCGAUGAUGUGCUUGAUCAGGUUCGCGGAGAAAUGUUGGGGAAGAAUCCCCUACUUGGGCUUCAAGCCUCUUAUGCUUAUGUUCGUUGUGAAGCUGAUCGAAAAUAAGCAAUGAAGGCGGAAGUUGACAAGAAUGAACCUGCUACCAUGGUAGCAAAGAAUCGUGGAUCUUCCUUUUGGUCGAACCGAGCCGGGUCACAAAACCGGCCAAGACAAACUCGCCCUAGCCAGACAAGUUGGGACCUUCCCCAAGGUAAGUGCCCACACUGUGGCAUGACAGGACACUCCAAAACCGCUGCUUUCAGUUGAUUGGAUAUCUCGAGAAUUGAGAUAAGACCUGUGAUCCCCGCUGCAACAAAUCUCGUGCCUUUGUUGCAUAAACAAAGAAUGAUUCAAAUCAGAUAGCGGACAAGGCCUCUGCUAUGAUUGUUGUGGCAGAUAGUAGUGAUGGUAAGGCACUAAAUAUUUCCACUCUUGUUAUGAAUAAUACAUAGAUAAUUGAUUCUAGAGCUACUGAACAUAUAACUUGUGAUUCUAGACAGGUUCCAUACCUAAAAAUCUCCACACAAACCAUGGUCAAUGUUACUAAAUUAUAAUUUGUUAUCUGUUGCCCAAAUAACCCUAGCCUUACACUGUUUGGUUAUUUUUUGGGCCUAUUUUUGUGUUUUUAAGGACAUCCGGAUGCGGAAGACAAUUGGUUGUGGUAUUAGACGAGGGAAGUUUUAUUACUUGGAGUUGACUACUGUAACGACCCGAAAAUUUAUAUUCGGAAACAAAUACUAAGAUAGGCCCAAAAUUUAUUUCGGAAGAUAAUCACCAAAUUCCUUUUCUUAGACAAUUUGCAAGAAAAAAAUUCAAUCUUAGUUAUUUUAUUAUGGCUGCAUCUAACCUUGUUAGACUGCCUAGGUACCCUACGAAGGGAUCAAGCCAUUCGUAGUUCACAAAUUCAAUAUCUAACUCAUUUCUGAAAAUCAUUCAAGUGACUAACAAUCACUAACUAGGUUCAAAACAGGUGAAUCAUAUCAAAUGUAUAUCAAAUAUGGUUUCAGAAUAUCGAAAUACGCAUAAAAUGGUAGUGUCGGCUCAUUGGCCACGCGUCGUCGCGCAUGGCGAUUUCCGGCUAACGGAAACCCAAAUUUCUAACUAACUCCAAAAAUUACCAAAUUUUACAAGAUUGUAUAACUCAACAAGGGGAAGAACUUUUAUACCUGGGUUAAAGCCUAGUUCUGCCGGGAAGUGGUCGUAAAAUGCCUCGAACCGCCAGAACCUUCGAUUUGGGUAGUUGAUGAUUCGCCACCAAAACGCAUUUUACCGCCUCAUCCAAGGCUUGAGCCUUGCUUCUGGGGUUGAGAGAAGUCCUUUGGUGGUGGUCAUCGACGACAUUCGUUGUCGGAUUCACCGAAAAAAUAACAAAGCAGCCGGGACACCCGUGAGUUUUGUGGCUUCAAUUUGUGAAUUUGGGUUUGAAACCUAGAAUUAUAACACCAUAAGGAUGUUAGGCUCGAUAAGAGUUUUCCAUAGACACCGGAAUCACCUCAAUCAGAUGUCGGACGGAGAAGUUAGAGCCGAGUCAAGGAACUGGGUCGGGUCGGGUUGUACGGAUCCAAAAAGAUCUGGUGCUCCCUCACCUCCCUCCUUUCUCUCCCUUCUUCCCUUGCCCAUUCGUCCUCUCCCCCUCAUUUUCUCUCCCGUAUCCCUCAUUUCCCUUCUCUCUCUUGCUACCACCUGGCAGUUUCCACCCAUUUUAUUUAUUUAUUUAUUUCCAACAACAAAAACGUCUCUAAUUUCUUCGUUAUAACUCCAUUUCACGAAUGGUUUCGCCUACACACUCGUAGGAUCGAACUCUAUCCAAAUAUGUCAAGAAAUACAAUAAAAUAUAUGAGGAUAAAAUAUGUCCUCGUAAACUUACGUUUAGUCAACUAGGGGCAUUUUCCACUUAUCGAUAAAUUUUUCUAUAUUUUCAUAUAUUUUAAAUUUUCUAGGGCUUUACAACUACCAUUAGUUAUGGUGCUAACUCAAGCUCUUUCUGUAGAGGAUUAUCAAGGGGAUACUAAUAAAGUGUCGGACAUCUGGAUGUGGCACCGAUGCCUUGGACAUGCUUCUUUUGGUUAUCUACAUAAGUUAUUUCCUAAUUUGUUUGUUAAGAAUGAUGUUUCUCAGUUUAAGUGUAAUGUUUUUGAUUUGGCUAAAAGCCAUCGAACUUCUUUUCCUCCAAGUUUAAAUAAAAGUUCCAUUCCUUUUUAUGAUUGUGCAUUCUGAUGUGUGGGGUCCUUCGAAAAUAGCUACUCUUGGUGGUGCUCACUGGUUUGUUACUUUUAUUGAUGAUUGUACAAGAAUGACUUAGGUUAGUUUGUUAAAGUAAAAAAAUGAAGUUAGUUCGGCCUUUCAGAAGUUCCAUAAAAUGGUUGGUGUGCAGUACAACAUGAAUAUCCAGGUUCUUCGUAGUCACAACGGCGAAGAGUAUGUUAAUAUGGAAUUUCAUUCCUUCCUUGAUAUGCAUGGUAUUGUUCAUCAAACCACGUGCCCGUAUACUCCUAAACAAAAUGGGGUUGCUGAACGAAAAAAAUAAACACUUGUUAGAAGUGGUGUCUGCCUCGCUUAUUGAGGCACAUCUUCCUCUACAUUAUUGGGGUGAAGCAUUCACGUCUGUGGCCUAUCUUAUUAAUUGUCUUCCAUCUCGUACUCUCAACUUCCAGACACCGUUUCAAGCUCUCAUGGCUUAAACUAGUUGCCUGCCGAUUCUGAAUCUUCCCUCAUGAGUCUUAGGGUGUGUUGCUUUUGUUCACCUUUAUCCUCCCCAACAGAAAAGUAAACUUAAGCCUCGAGCCUUUCGUUGUGUGUUUUUGGGUUAUGCCUCUACUCAAAAGGGAUAUCGUUCUUAUCAUCCUCUAACUGAGAAGAUGUUUAUAACUUCGGAUGUGAUUUUCCAUGAGAAUGAAAUGGUUUUUAGUUCCUCUGAGUCCUCACUUCAGGGGGAGUAUUGAGGUGAUGAAGUUCGGUAUUUUGAUUAUUUCCCUAGGGCUAGAAGUUAGCUGCAUGAAGAGCAGCCACCAUAUUUGGACCCCACGACCUCUAAUGAUCAAAAGGCCACUGAACAGUAGCCCACUAACCAGCGGCUGACUGAACAACAGCCCACUAAUCAGUGGCCCACUAAACAACCGCCAGCGAACCAGGAACCGGCCCAUUAGCCUUGGGAAGAAGACCAGCCCAUGGGUUAUGUGCUUGAAAUGGAGCAGCAGCCGCAAGUUUUAAAUGAAAUCGAGUAGCAACAGCUAGCUUGUGAUUCUUCCCCAGAUUUUGUCUCAAAUCAGAAUAGACUCGUCUUUUGUUAGUACUCAUAAUCAAUCGUCGUCUACACCAAAUGCACCUCCACUUUGUCGCCUUCCUAAGCGUAUUAACCGAGGUAUUCCUAAACCCACUUACAAGGCAAACCUUAAGUGUAAAUACAAGUACUCCGUGAGUGAACCAAAUUCUAAUUCAAGAGUGAGAUAUCUAUUAAAUAAUUAUGUGUAUACCCGUCAACUGUUUGAAUCAAAUAUGUCAUUUGUGUAUCAAUUAUCUACUAUACCUAUUCCUAACAGCGUGUAGGAAGUCUUAGCAUAUUCCCGCUGGAAAGAUGCAAUGAACGAGGAAUUGAGAUCGUUGAAGAAGAAUGCUACCUGGGAGAUAACUUAUUUGCUAGCCAGAAAAAAACUUGUGGGAUGCAAAUGGGUCUAUACAAUGAAAUACAAAACGGAUGGAACAGUGGAUCGCUUUAAAGCGAGAUUGGUGGCGAAGGGGCAUACACAAAAAUAUGGCAUCGAAUACACCGAUUCAAAAUUUGAUGUGAAAUAUUCUAACACACAAAUUACACCCUAUUGAAUAUGUAAGUGUAGUAUUAAGCAAGUAGGGAUCAUUCUAAACCGAGGAUUAACUAGGGUUGCUAAUCUACUUAAAUUAAACUCUAAAACACUAAACUAGACUUAAAAACACAAAACUAGACUCUAUAAACUCUAAACUGACCUAAAACACUCAAAUCAGCAAAACUAACUUAAAAAUACUCAAAACGGGUUCUAAGAACUAUUUGGAUGAAUUUAACACUAGUGAGACUCAAAACACUAAUUUGGACAUAUUGAAACACCUUUUUAACUAAUCCAAGACACUUAAUUGAAAGGGGGGUUGAUCUUGACGAAUUUGAUUAAACUAAAUACAUUGUAAACUAAAGCAAACUAGAUAUGAAAUUGAGUGAAUUGGAUGGUGAAAUAGGCUAGUUAGAGGAUCCUACUCCACACAUAAACAUAUGCAACAUAAAUCGAUUUCCAGUAUAUUGUUUCUUUAAACCAUGAAUGACAAUGCCCCAAAUUAAUCGUGAAUGCACAAAUUAAUUCUCAGAUUUCCCUAAAUUCAUUCAAUUGAAUGGACAACGCAUCGCAACCAAAUUAUUCUUAUCAAGUUCCCUAUAUGAACAACAUGAUAGAGAUACAUUCAAAGAUUAUUAAGUUCCAUGGAAAUCAUAAGCAUUGACAAGACAAUCAUAACUAUGAACUGCAUGAUACUCUUGCCAAGAAUCUACUUAACACGAUUGUGACUAACAAUCUCCACUACUUGUAAUUAUAAGUUCCUAACGAUUAGGUGAAAGUCUCUUAUAAUUUAGCAUCAAAUUCAUGCAUGCAAACUAAGUAUGCAUCCUUAAUCAACACACAAGAAUAAGUUAUCAAUCAAAAUAGAUAAGUAAAUCACAUCCAUGUUUUACGAAACAAUAACUGAAAGGAAUCAAUUGAUAUUAAACAUAUGUCCAUGGCUUCAAAUUCACCACUAACUAAUAAGAACUUAGUUACGCAUGUCUUUAAAAACUGAAGAUAACAUUAAAUUAAACAUUGAAUUAAAACUAAGGAUAGAAUACACCUAGAAACGCUCCAACAAUCCAAACUUGAAUGGCAGGCACGACUCCAAGGGUCUCCUCUCCUUCCUUCCUUUCAAAUCUGCGCAAAAAUAUGUAUUUUCUGAUGUUUCGGCUCUUGUAUGUGUGGUGUGGAUGAAGGGGACGAAUUUGUGAUGAAAGGUGGGUAAAGGGUGGUGAUCUUAAUGAAUGUUGCGUACUUGUAUUUAUAGGGAGAGAAAGGCAAAAUCCCUAAGGGUUAGGAUAGGUUUCUGAAAUCAAAGUGGGACAAGGUUUAUGUAAGGGGUUGAGGCGUCACUUUUAUAGGGAAAGAAGAUAAGGCUUCUAGAAUCUGAAAUAUGUAUUUUAAAUGCAUAAUUAUCCCUUAUAAAUCGCUGGAAUUAAGGUAAAAACUGAUUUGGAUAAGAUAAGAUUGGAUAAUGCUAGAUUAUGAAAGGAUAAGAUAAGAUAAGGUUAGUUUGGAUAAGAUAAGGUUGGAUAAGGUUUUGGAUAAUGUUCCUUUUUUGAGCUGAUUUCUUAUCUUCUUGGUCUUGGAUUUAUUUUCUUCUUCUUUUUAGCACAUUCCUAGCCUCUUGAACUUCCAAUUCGUCCAUCCAUCUUGCUCCAUUCAUAAGCUAUCCAUUUGAUGCCCAAAACUGACUCAAAAUGCUCCAAAUUGCACUUUCUUGCCAACUUUGUCAUUUGGACCUACAAACACACGAAAAUAGCUUAAACACUAUAAUAAACACAAAUAAACUACGAAAAUGCAAGAAGAUAAGCAAACUAAGUCGCAUAAAUAUGCUCCUAUCAAAUUCCCCCACACUUAGCUUUUGCUAGUCCUUAAGCAAAACGAAACAAACAAAAUAAAACAAAGUAAACAAAACACACUCUAAUCCUUCCAACAUUUGCCUCAGGGAUUUCCAAUGCACAUGACAUGGUAAACAUCAUCAUUCCCACAUAUUUAGUCAUCUUCACACUUGAGCACAUACUUAAUCAUAGUCACCACUUACUAGUUCACAUUUAACCAAUUAAAACGAUGUUUUGAAUGUAGUAACAUGCCUUAGAGAAUUUGCUCAAUUCCUUACAAGAUACUCUCUAUUUUCACACACAUUUUCUGACCACACACCAUACACUAGUUAUAUAUGAGAGGAUUGAGGUAAACAUGUAGGCGAAUACUCACAUAUAUGUAUAACAAAGAAAGCAUUUUCUGGAGUUAUUAAACAUGCUUAGAUAUGAUCUCAUGAAUGGAAUGCUACUACUUAGAUGUGAGAACCAGAGAUACCAUAUGCUCAUACCAAUCCCAAACUCCACAUAUUGAAACACACAACAACCAAGAUUGAAGUCUAAAGGUUGUAACGGGGCUAAGGGUAUUAGCUAACAAAGAAGGGUAAGGAAAAACAAACGUUCUUAAAUCAAUAGUAAGCAAAGUAAUGAAAUCAACUUAGAAUUCACUCUUGAAUGUAGCAAAUAACUUGAAACACUAAGGGGAUUUCGUACACUUAGGGUAAUAUCCAAACUUUUUGGACCUUUUCUUCAACAACCAAUACUUGUGAGUUCUUUCUCACUUAUUUCACAAUUUUUUUCUUUCUUUUUCUACUUUUUUAUCACUUUUUCUUUUUUUCUUUUUUUUUCUUUUUCUCAUGUACAUAACCUUCCCCCACACUUGAUUUCUACAAUAUGUUAGAUCAAAAGGAAUUCCCUCUAAGUCUUGCUCCACUAUACUUUAAGAACAAGGGUAUGGAUAGUCCUAUUCUAGGCUAGGUGGGGACAAUGUGGUUAACAAGGAAAAUAGGCUAAUUAAGGCUCAAAGGGGUUAAACCUACAAAACAAAUGCAUGGGACGAAGGCUUUUUGGCUCUGGUGGUAACUACUAAACAACUUCAUCUUGUUAUAUGUUAUGCACUCAAUUUUAAGCUUUGAAUGAAACGGGCAUGAGUUCUGGUAUUUGGAACUAAAGUGAUAAAACGCAUUCUAAGUAGCAACCAAGCAAAGAAUAAUGAGAUAAUGCAACGAAUUUAGAAAACAAGAAUGCACAGAUUAAUCACUCUCCCAAUAAAGUUUAGGCUCAAGUCUCUUAGGGUUGUAGCGUUAGUUUGAGUUUCUUCCUUCAAGCAUGUUACAAAAACUUCUUUUUUUUUCUUUGUGAUUACAUGUGAAUUCGUAAACGACAACUCGAACCAAGCAUAAACCAAAGAGCAUAUCAAACUUCCACCCAUGUUUGUAACUUUCUUUAACAGUCAUGUAAUUAAAAACCAAAUCCUCAUCAUUGUGUUGGAAUGUAUCCUAAGACACAAACACACAAAAAACAACUCUUUUUGGGUUUUUCAUAACUUUUUCUAAUAUACUAAAACACUCCAAAAUACUCUAAAAACACUUAAAAACAAUGAAAAACAACUCUAGUAAUGCUAGGUGAAAAAAACCACGAAUUUUCAAUAAAAACACUUGUUUACCCCCUCACACUUAAACCAAACAUUGUCCUCAAUGUUUCAAAGAAAGACUCACAUAAAAGCAAGCAAACAACACAACUAACAAGCACAACAAGCAUGGCAAAGUAAAAUCAAGAGAGAUUAGAGUUUAAGAACGCAAAUCUAGUUAUGGAGCUCGAAUUCCUUCAAUCCCUCAUUUGAACACAUGGGUUGCCUCCCAAGAAGCGCUUGCUUUAACGUCUUCCAGCCAGACGAUACCUCCAUUUAAGCUUGAAUAGGGCCCAUAGCAUGGAGGGGUAUGUCCUUCACGGCAUGCACCUCACAAUUCUCGUGCAUUUGAUCUAUGAAUGGAAGAGGAUAGUGAUCCUUCCUGAUUGUAGCAUUUAGCUUUCUAAAGUCAAUGUAAAUGUUCCCACCAUUAUGGAUUCGAUUGGGGACCUGCACCAAAGAAGGUAACAACCUAUUAGUUGAAAUGGGAAUUGAAAUCGGACUAGAUGGCUAACCAAUGUGUUGCAAUGAAGUGGCAGCACUGUCAAUAGAUUCUUCAAUGGUGCUCUCGGCCAGAUUGUGCAUUGUGAGGUUAGUGGUGCGUUCUUUGUGCUCCACUUCAAUUCCCUCGUCUUUUGGUGGUUCGAAAUUCAUCCUUCUUAAUUGGUGCAGAAUUUUCCUGCCCUACAUCUUUUAUUACAUCAAUGGAAAAACAAGAACGAACAUCAUUAGAAUUCUCAAGAGAUUCAGGAAUUUUAAAGUUAAUCAUAUCACCACCAAACGCCAUUGUUAACGCUCCCUUGGCCACAUCAAUCUUGGUUUGAGAUGUUUUCACGAAAGGUCGUCCAAGUAAGACUGAUGAUGGUGGAGAGUGGGCUGAAUCCUUCAUGUCAAGCACAUAGAAAUCUGCAGGAAAAAUCAAAUGGUCUACCUGCACCAAAAUAUCUUCCAAAACUCCUUUCGGGUAGGCAUUAGAUCGAUUGGCUAGUUGAAUAAUAUCACCAUCAUUUUUAAGCUCUCCUAGAUUCAUAGAUGCAUAAACAGAAUAUGACAUGACAUUAAUUUAUGCACCUAAAUCUUGCAUGGCAUGUUCAAACCUUGUAUUACCAAUUACACAAGGGGUAGUGAAACUACUUGGAUCUUUGCAUUUAGGUGGCAGCUUUCUUUGCAACAUGGCAGAGACAUUCUCACUCAUAUGUACCACCUUUUUCUCCCGAAUCUGUUUCCUUGUUGUACAAAGCUUCUUUAAAAACUUAGCGUACUUCGGGAUUUGCUUUAUAGCAUCAAGGAGCAAAAUAUUGACGUGCACAUUCCUAAACGUCUCCAUAAUGUCUUUUUCAUCCUCUUUUUUCUUGGUUUGCAUAAACCUGCUAGGAAAGGGCACAUUUAGUGGAAUAGAACUAAACAAAUUCGAAUUAGGACUUACCUUGGUCGAAUUGGAUGGUUUAGGAAGUGUAGGAGUGCACGGAAAGGUUGUUUCCUUCCUUGCCGUGGGUAUGCGUUGGACAUCCUCCUCUUGUUGCAGUUUUUCGUCCUCCGUUUGGGCAGAUUUUGAUGGUUGGGGGUCCGUUCCAACUUCUUUUCCACUUCUCAAUGUUAUGGCCUUGACGAAUUCAAAUCAUACCCUUGGAUUCACAACAGUUGUACUAGGCAGUUUGCCUUACUCUUUGAAUUGCCCUAUGAACUCUGCCAUUUGGCCCAUUUGUUUCUUCAACUCUUCCACCUCCUUAGCUUGAUUGAGCAUUGUUUUGCUUUGAUUUUGCUGCCACUGCACCAAAGAAGUUAGUAAUUAAACAAUUUGAUCAUUAUCCAUGGAUGUACCUGAAUUGGUUUGGGCAGAUUAUGGUUGGACUUGUGGUGGUGCGUAUGGCCUUUGAUACAUCCUAGGGGGUUGUGGCCGAAAUCUUCCUUGUUGGGAAGGUUGUUGUGGUUCUCUAUGGCUUUUAGGAACCUUUCUCAUUGAAUCUCGAUUUUGCAGUUUAUCGACUCUUUGAACUCGAGUAGAAAAUUUAGAGGCACUCCAAAUAGGUUUUUCCUUGAGUGGACAGGGAGGUCUCCAAGAAGAGGGAGGAACAAUGCGACAAAUACCAUAUGGUUCGGCUUUAGCGCGUAUGCUUGCUAUAUAUUUCAACGUGUCUUUGAACUCCUGAAAUUAGGUAGCAAACUGAGUCAGAAAGCCGAUUUCUUCAAAAAUGAAAACCUUUUUGAAAAAAAAAAAUCAACUUUUUUAAUUUACAAGUAAGAUGAGUAAGAAUAGGUCAACAAACUCCAAAACUGUAAUAACUCAAAUUCCACAAGUAAUAAGUUGCACCUCCUCAGUAGGUCUGAAUACAGGAGCGUUCUGAAGGUCCCGCCUUUGACCCUCCAGUGGAUGCCAUCUUGCAGAGACCUGUUCAAAACACUUAAUCAUCAAUUCUAUAACUUUGAAGGCAGAACAAAAAAACCAAAACCCCAGACAGUUUGUCGAUUCACAUAAGUAAGGUGAAAGCAAGAUACUUAUGAUAAAAGAUUACAAAGGAACCAAGCAAAUAGAAGGGUAAGAGUAAAGGGUGUGAAGUUUGAAGAUUAACCUUUUGGCAAUUACUACAUUGUGGACAUCCGCGUACAACCCCCUUGGGAAGAACAGAUCUUGGGGGACAAUUCUGCUAAAAAGAAAAAAAGGUGGUACAUGAGAAACCAUCUACAUGUACAGAAUUCUUGUAGAGAAAUGGCAUAUAAAUGAUUAAAACCCAUAAAAUCAGGGGAUAUUUGAAAAUUUACGUGUUCAAGUCGGUCUGAAUCAGACUCAUCCUCUGACUUGUUAUUUCGCCCAUGGUUUAUGCAUUGUCUGCGUCGAACAGACCUCUUUGCAACCUCGCCAUUGUCAACGUCAGUUUCCAUCUGAACUGACUGUGAAUUGGAAGGACUAGCAGUCACUGAGCAACUUAUUCUGUUUUCAAUAUCUUUUUUCUCACUUUCAUUUAUCCUUUUUAAGCUGAAAGGUGCAAAUGACUCAAAUCCGGGUGGAACUGAAGGAAACUCCUCGUUAUUUAUCAUCUUUUAUGCAAACUCUCAUGAGUUCUGUCCCCAUACUACCGUGAUAUUAAAACCGAUAAUUUUCCAAUCUGUUCAUCUACGUGGAAAGAAUCAAUCUUUAUGAAGUAGGAUGAUCACUUAUCUUCUGGCUUAUGAACCACAAUAUCAUGAAAUACUGCUCCUUUGCAUCCCACUACUAAGUCGAACCAGGUAGGCUUGCAACAAACCAAAGAUUUUGCCUGCAAAAUCGAAAAACAGACAUCUUAGGGUUUCAAAAGCAUGCUUCAGUAAACCAAGUUUCUUUGGCUUCAUUAGCAUUAACAGACUUUGGGUACACCAAAUUCAGCACAGAGGACUGAAACUAUAAUAUAUUUUCCAGAGACGUUGCUAUUCACACUAACAUCAGUUUCUGAACAAAAAGAUAUUUUCCAGACACCUUGCAUGACGGCGUGCGUUCGAACGCCGUCGGUGGCUAAUCUAACGUCUAAUGUAACAAAAUCUAUCUAUCGUUUGACCAAAAAAAGAAAGAAAAAAAAAAAACGAACACGCAACAGUAAUAUCGUAUUUUAGCAGUUGAAAGAUAUUGCAGCUGAAGAUCAUACGUAUCAGCUCCAUUAAAUUUAUGAUCCGAUAUCAGAACGAUCUCAUACAUAACUAUCAUCACAAUACACAAAUGCAUUCAUGAAAACAAACAAAUUAAUCAGAUGAUCAGACAUUAUGAUAAUUCCAUUAAAUAUCACUUGAAAUUUCUUAAUUGAAUUGAAAUAUUAUUAAAUAUAUCAAAUUAAUCGGUAAAAAACACCAGGCAUUUGUAAUUUAUCCAUAAUUUUGUAGCACCAGACAGAAUUACAGAUACCGAUAAGAUUGCCCAAAAAGUCAAACUACAAGAAAAUAAAUUAAAUUAAAAUGAAAGUAGGGCUUACAUCGUGAUGAUCCAAGAUUCUGCAAUCCCCACUGAGCUCAAUCCAGCUCAAACUUCAAUCACUACACCCAGUAUUUGCAGAAACCAGAUCAAUUCAACAAAAAUUGAUUCCAAAAAUUAACUAAAAAAAUAAAUUAAAUUCAACAAAAAUUUCAAAUCCGUAAGAAAUUAAAUCUGAUUGAACAGAUCUAAAAACCCUAACCCUAAUUCUAACACCAGAGAGACAGAAAGCAGAAAGCACUUUUGCCACAGAAUAAUUGGUCUGGGAUGGGUACCCACCCCCAUCAAAUUCAUAAAUGACAAUCAAGGCCAACCUCUCAAAGUUCAAACCGCCUUGAAUUUCAUCUGAGACAAGUUAAGCAAAAUCCAGAAACUGUGGGCAAGGGCAAAUCUGGAAAAAGAAGGACAAAAAUUCUUGUACCAGAAUUUGGGGCUAAAAUUCCAAAUUUGGAGGAAACCCUAACCCUAUUAGGCUUGGAAAUUGAUUCAGUGCCAUUUAAUUUUUGUUUGGUGCAAAGUCAGUACCUUUUUAUUAAAGCUGACAAAUAACAGAUGAUAUGAUAACAGUUGGGUCUUCUGAAAAAUCAUUUGGAAAUUAAAAUCUAGGGUUUUUAAUUUUCCUUUUUUCUGGGAAGAAGAGUUUUGGGGAUAUUGUUUAUGUGAUGUUUUUUUUGGAUAAAUACCGGAUUUGGAUUACUUUGUGAUGUAAAAAAGUAGGUGAAUUUAUUUUAUUUAUUUUAAUUAUUACCUGAGUUUGGUUGGUCCGUUGCUUCGGGAUUCCGUGUAGAAACCAGCAAGAUUUUAUCGAACGGCAAAAUGUUAAAUUCCAUGGGCGCCCUUGGGAAUAACACGUUGUUUCGUGCUAAAUGAAACAAUGUGUGACCAAUUGGGGCUUUAGACACAGAGGUCAGGAAGACUUACCGAUGCAUUUUAGUUUUUGUUGAUUAGUAUCGCAUAAUUCAUUAGCGUUAGAAAUCAAACUCAUAACAUGUUAUGCGAAUGAUAAACAUGAAAUUCCUUUCAACUACUGGAUCGCCCGUGUUGACUUUUUUAUACUUUAUGUUUGGUUGUUGAGGUAUGAGAAGAAUUACUUGUUGUAAUGAAAAAUUGAAUUGUUAUUAGUACUUCAAAAAUCUCAUUCUGCAGUUUUCAAUAAAAAAUCGUGCUUGUCAAGAUAAUUAAUUUUAAUGUAUGUUCAUGUAUUUACUGUGCUGAUUUAAUAAAAGCUCAGUUUUCUUUUACUUAUAUUCUUCUUUUUCCAAUGAAACCUUCAUAUGUUACGUUCUUAUAUAUUUUCUCGAUAAAUUAAUUUCAAUCGCAUAUAUAGCAUGUGACAUUAAUUUCGUUUAUUUAAUAUAAGAAAAUGACUUUAUAGUAUUGAAAGUAUAAUAGUAUAAAUUAUGGACUCAUUUAGAAGUACUUUUAAAAUAAUUAAAAGUGUUUGAAGAUAACAUGUUGUUUGGUUCUAAAAACACUUGAAGUGCUGCUUUUACAGGAUUUACUUGCGUUUUACUAAAAUAUGGUUCUAAAAAUAUUUUCACCAAAAUUUUUUUAAAUCAUUUUAAAAAUAUUUUCAAACGAACUAGUUAUCAUUUUUAACGGAUUUUAAUUAGCGUUGUUAAAGACGUAGCCUUUAAUGAUUUCAAACACUCAAAAUUACCCAGAAAAUAUAUAUCAAAACGAUUAAGCAUCAAGACAAGUCAAUUGAACGUGUAUAAUUGGUGACCCUCUAAAACAAGUCAUUUGAUUGGUCCUAAUGGUUGAUCCCUUUUAUUGAUCACUUUGAUUGGAGUAAAUAUUUAAAACAAGAAAAAUAUUUUAUUCCCAACUUGGCCUUCUUCCACGUUUGAUACAGUCCACACACGAAGAACUCACGCGUGCAAGGGGCUUUGUAUUUUAACAUGUAAGAAGUUUUAUGGUUUUUGAUAGGAAAAUGUCUUUGAAUACCAAUAACAAUCUCGUGGAAAGAUUUUCUCAUGUACGUGAAACAAAAGACGACACAUAAUAUGUCAUAAUAUAGGCAGAUUCACUUAAAAAUUAAAACAAUAUUUGACUUAUCCUGUCUUUGUUUUUUUGGGUACUCUAACAGAUACUUCUGCAGCAUAUCAAUCUAAUAUCCUUAUAAUUCAAGUGUAUACUUACUCAAAACUCUUUUAUGUUCUAGGCCAAACCUCAAUUUUCUCUUCAUUCCUCUUAUUGCAAUGCAACCUUCACUACCCCUCCUUAUUCUAUCAAAUUUUCUUUAGCUUUAACUUAUACUUAAAAAAAAAUUCUUGUUUACUCCUAACAUCAUAUUCAAGUUUCUGGGUCUGUAUAAUGUUUUUAAUUCUCUCGGUUGAAUUUGUGGUCUUUCGAUUUUUAUGCAAAUUACUCAAUUUAUCAUGUUUUGAGUUUAAAUUACCUAGCAUGUGAGAGACCUCUAUAUCCAUAAAAUCCUAACUCCGUCACUGAUCACAAUACGAAUAAAAACAUUAAAAAUGUAUUUUAUAAUUACUUAAUAUUAUGAUGACACGUAAUACAAUGGCUUGGUUUCCACAUACAUGAAAAACAAAAUUCCAACCCCGUGACCUUAUGCCCCUCAAAGUAAGACAAAAGACAUUGUUCAUAAGAAAAAUGGUUUCUUUCUGUUUACGACACAUAGUUAUAGUACUAUUAUUCAUUCAUUGGUGAUUAGUUGACCAUAAAAAAAAACGAGUGUCUCACAAUUGUUACAUAUCAUGAUUAACACAUGGCCAUGAAUAUGAAAUAUUCAUUUAGUGGUUAUGCAUACGGGGACCCAAUUAGAUGUUAUUGACACCAUUUAUGUUUGAGUCAUCCUCUUACAAGGCAAACUAGGUAUCAGACUCACAUUUACAUUGAGUCACACAAUAAGCUAUCUAGGUAUCAGACUCCCAUCUAUGUUUGAGUCGUCCUCUUACAAGGUGAAAGGAAAUAUCACUAGAUCAUAAGACUAGUAACAAAGUGUUUCUAGACAACCACAAGCAUAUUUGGGAGUGCUUUAGAAAUAGCUAAAAACAACUCCACGAAACCAACAAGCUUCUAAAUAUAUUUACCACAAAAGGUUUGAAAGUGUUUUUAGAUUUUUAUUAAAAAUUUAGACGUGCCUCUAAAGCUAACAACGCUUAAGCAUUAUUGUUUUCUGUCAAAAAGCAUUUCUAAACGAGUUCAAAAGUAUUAUCGGGCCUUCUGGCCGACCUGCUCUUUUGUUGAAUGGGUCUCUCCUUUUGUUUUGUAUGGGGUUUCUGUUGGGCUUUGGUCUUGUAAAAUUAUUUUUUUUCCGUAAAAAUCGGCGUGAGAAAUACCGUCAAAAGCAAAAGAGCAAAGCUCUAGAACUCUCUGAAAUUACGAUCCCGAUUGCCCCCAAUUCGUACCAUUCAAAACCCUAGCUUUACCUUUAUUCCGAUAUCGGCCAUGGCGAACCCACCGUCUUCCUCCGCAGCUCCUCCAUUGACCUCUUCCCAAUUCACAUACGCGAAUGCCUCGUCGUCAUCGUCCUACUUCCCCAUGCCCUUCCACCUCCAGCAACCCCAGUACCCCGCGCCUUACGCCGUUGCAGCGCCACCCGCUCCGUCCGUCUACCCGGCCCCGGCUCCGGUCGCCGGUGUCUACUCUCUUCCUCAGCAGUAUCAGCAGG